UUUUAAUUUCAUUUUCAUGCAUGGUGAAAUGUGUUGUUGCAUUUAAUUUCGUUUUAAUGGAAUUUAAUUACAUUUUUGCAAAAACAGUCUGAAACCCCCCCCCCCCACUUUGUGUUAGACCUAAGAUCGAACUACGGUUUGGUCCUUGAGAGACGACCUAGGAGUCACUUCCUAGUCUAUACUGCAUUUCUCAUAUGCAAUCAAAUUUGUAUGGGUCGCGACACCCAUCAUAUGGUCUUCUAGUCUCCACUACUCUACCUUCUUUAAUCUUGUUCGCUAUCCACUUCCUGUUCUUGAAUCUUACUUGUGAAUCACGUGGAAGUGGUGUAUCCUCUGAGUGGAUUGUUCCUCCUUUAUCAACCUCUUCAUCUUUAGGUAGCUGCAAAACAUUACAACUGUCAGUAUCAGUACCUGUUAUGUCUGGCUCUCUUUCUUAUUCUCAUUCUGUUUGCUUUCGAGCCACUAUAUGUUCACACCUAAUCUUGAUAUCUUAACAUCAUCCUCCCGUCAUGGAUACGCAUCACCAUUUUAGAAGUCCUCAUAAAAGGUCUUCCCAAAAUCAAUGGAAUUCUUCCAUCAUUCUCCAUAUCCACAACCAUAAAGUCAAUCAAGAAGUCCAACUGCUCAAUACGAACAUUUGCAUCCUCCACCCU
rnacentral:lncRNA from 1 species